rnacentral:lncRNA from 1 species
AAUUAGUGUUGAUAAAAUAAGACGGUUAAAAAUGUUAACAUUUUUUAUUUCUUUUACAUUUUUUGUAGACCUUCAUUUUCUUCCUUUCCAAUUGCUAUAAAAUUUGUUGAAAAAGAAAUGUUGCCUGGUUGGAUAUGAAAAUGCUCUAGCUGGGAACACAUGAAGGCAGAACCUGAAGGAGAAGGUGGAAGAGAAAUAUCUGGACCUCACCACAGCGUUUUAGCGGCCACAACUGAAUCUGUCCGAGAUUCCCAGGAAAGGAGAGAACUUGGUAAAGUAAGCGGCCGCGCCCGGCUGUUCUUCCUGGACCCAGGCACGAGCACGGGAGAGUCACAGAUUUGAUAGGUAAAGAGUCCCUUCAGAAAUGACCUCUCUGGUGCUACUUCCUGAGCCCCUGUCCCUUGUCAGACAACCUUUCCAGUUUGGGAUGGAGCCCCGCGCAAAACAGCUCAUUCCGUUGCAUUAUUCCUGAUGCAGUCGGCUCCCUUGCAUUCCCAGACUGAGCCGGUUGUCAUUUUCGAUGUGUGAAAGUUAAGCUGCGUCAGUGGGAAAAAAGCAACCCUGAAGUGGGCAGCAGAAAAACACGCC